AACGAACGCUGGCGGCAUGCCUAACACAUGCAAGUCGAACGAGACCUUCGGGUCUAGUGGCGCACGGGUGCGUAACGCGUGGGAACCUGCCCUUAGGUUCGGAAUACCUCCCCGAAAGGGGUGCUAAUACCGGAUAAUGUCUUCGGACCAAAGAUUUAUCGCCUUUGGAUGGGCCCGCGUUGGAUUAGCUAGUUGGUAGGGUAAAAGCCUACCAAGGCGACGAUCCAUAGCUGGUCUGAGAGGAUGAUCAGCCACACUGGGACUGAGACACGGCCCAGACUCCUACGGGAGGCAGCAGUGGGGAAUAUUGGACAAUGGGCGAAAGCCUGAUCCAGCAAUGCCGCGUGAGUGAUGAAGGCCUUAGGGUUGUAAAGCUCUUUUAACCGGGAUGAUAAUGACAGUACCGGGAGAAUAAGCUCCGGCUAACUCCGUG
rnacentral:rRNA from 1 species